UCGGGUUGUAAAGCACUUUUGUCCGGAAAGAAAACCUUUGGGCUAAUACCCCGGGGGGAUGACGGUACCGGAAGAAUAAGCACCGGCUAACUACGUGCCAGCAGCGCGGUAAUCGUAGGGUGCGAGCGUUAAUCGGAAUUACUGGGCGUAAAGCGUGCGCAGGCGGUGAUGUAAGACCGAUGUGAAAUCCCCGGGCUUAACCUGGGAACUGCAUUGGUGACUGCAUCGCUGGAGUAUGGCAGAGGGGGGUGGAAUUCCACGUGUAGCAGUGAAAUGCGUAGAGAUGUGGAGGAACACCGAUGGCGAAGGCAGCCCCCUGGGCCAAUACUGACGCUCAUGCACGAAAGCGUGGGGAGCAAACAGGAUUAGAUACCCUGGUAGUCCACGCCCUAAACGAUGUCAACUGGUUGUCGGGCCUUCAUUGGCUUGGUAACGUAGCUAACGCGUGAAGUUGACCGGCUGGGGAGUACGGUCGCAAGAUUAAAACUCAAAGGAAUUGACGGGGACCCGCACAAGCGGUGGAUGAUGUGGAUUAAUUCGAUGCAACGCGAAAAACCUUACCUACCCUUGACAUGGACGGAAUCUUGCUG
rnacentral:rRNA from 1 species